CGUUGCGAGUAUUAUCUUUGUAGAAGAAAUUUUUGGCGGGCCGAAAGAUCUGUGUUUGUUAUUGUUUUCAUCGAAGUGGUACAUGCUGCAUGGAACUGUGGUAGUAACUCAGCAACAGGGUGUAAUGAGUGACGUCGUGAUCACCGUAUUGUAUGUCCUUGAAAUAGUGUACACCGUGUUGAUGGCAUUACUGGUCAAAACAGUCAGGUGGAUUAAUGGCUUACUGCCAAUCUACCUUUUAUAAUUCAGUAGCAGAUCACUUCAUGUAAACUGAUUUUGUUCUUCAGAUAUAGUUUGUGUGUAUUUCAAUUAAUUAAAAAUAAUGCUAUGUUCCAAGGA